AGUGGGGUGAUGUAGUGGUUAGCACACCUGCCCGAACUGUAGGAGGCCCAGAGUUCAAAUCCUUGCUCCGCCG
rnacentral:tRNA from 1 species